rnacentral:siRNA from 1 species
UUUGGGGUGCCCAGAGUGA